rnacentral:pre_miRNA from 7 species
CUACUAAGUCUUUAAUCCAGAAUUAAACUUCCAUUGAAAGAACCUAGUGGGGAAACCCCCACUCAAUUCUCGAUUCAGCGCGCACCCAAGAAUCACGAACAGACGA